GGGGAUGUCAGGCAUCGAUGAUGACGUUCUUUUAGAAGACUCAAGUCAAGAGGGCAGAAACUCUUGUAAAUCCAUUUCUGUGCACGAUCAUAAAUGCAAACACUAUCGUAAAGGCAAAGGAUAAACUAAAAGCCGUUUCAGGUCUUUCAGUUAAUCUAACGCCUGCAACUGUUGCCGUCUAAUAUACGGUAACCAUCCGUUCGUCUCUGCCAUGAGAGACGAUAUGCGGGUGACAUACACCAUGGCUGCAGCGUCACGUCCCCUUUUUGUGACGACCAAGAGUUUGUAAAAGGGUAUAGCACCACUUAUUUUGUUUGUUUAGAGAGUGUUGCCGAACAAAAAUUAAACAAACUAUACUUGUAUAAAGUCAUUUAGAAUACGUUUUCACACGUGGGUUCGAUUCCCACCAUCUCCACGU
rnacentral:tmRNA from 1 species